AGAAGUUCCAGCACUAGGUCACUCAGCGCACACGCCCUGAGGUGCGCAGGGGGCCCGAUGCCCCUGAGGGAGGGGGCCAGCUCAUCAAAGACUCAAGGUCCAAGGCGCCUGUGCCACCCCAGCUAGCGGUCAAGAGGCCACCACCGUGCCCAGGAGAGAUGACAGCACCUGUGGGCUAUGGCAGCCUCUGGGUCUGCUGUUGGCCCUGCCCACCGGCCCUCUCAGGCCGGGCCUGUCAGUGGCUGAGUCCUUCACGCCCCUUGGUCGGGUCUGUCUGCCCUCAGGGCUCCCGCACUGGUGCUUGCCUCCUCCGCCUCAGACUCUUGCUCUUGCUGGACCUUCCACUCAGCCUCGCCGGCGCCCGGCCCCUGGGCUCUUCAGACAAAGCUGACCCCGUGGCCCAGAUAAGGACGUCCGGCAGAGGAUCCAGUUUGUCUGUUCUCUCUGCAAAUACCGGACCUUCUAUGAAGACGAGAUGGGUAGCCACCUUGAUAGCAAGUUCCACAAGGAACACUUCAAAUAUGUAGGCACCAAGCUUCCCAAGCAGACAGCUGACUUUCUGCAGGACUAUGUCACCAACAAGACCAAGAAGACAGAGGAGCUCCGAAAAACUGUAGAGGACCUUGAUGGUCUGAUCCAACAAAUCUACAGAGACCAAGAUCUGACCCAAGAAAUUGCUAUGGAGCAUUUUGUGAAGAAGGUGGAGGCGGCCCAUUGUGCAGCCUGUGACCUUUUCAUCCCCAUGCAGUUUGGAAUCAUCCAAAAGCAUCUCAAGACUAUGGAUCACAACCGAAACCGCAGGCUCAUGAUGGAGCAGUCCAAGAAGUCCUCGCUUAUGGUGGCACGCAGUAUUCUGAACAACAAGCUCAUUAGCAAGAAGCUGGAGCGAUAUCUUAAG
rnacentral:lncRNA from 1 species